rnacentral:piRNA from 1 species
UGACAGGCAUUUCACAGGCUCUCUGCUGUA